UUCCUCUCCAAGAAACUAGUUUUCUUCAAACUCCUGGAAACUUAGUUGAGCUUGGGAUAAGCUAUAUAUUGAUCACAUUUCUGUCUAGUCAGCAUUUCUUUGCUAGAAAUGUCCAGCUAACUAAUUUCAGACAAGCAUAUUCUCAUCGAAAGUUAAUUUGUAACUAAAAUUUGUCUAACUUUAUUAAACUUCUUAAUUAACUGAUGAAAACAAUUCCUUAAAAGGAUUUAAUAUUAGCAGGGUUUUUUGUUUGCCCUUUUUAAGUAAAC
rnacentral:lncRNA from 1 species